rnacentral:rRNA from 1 species
GAUGAACGCUGGCGGCGUGCCUAAUACAUGCAAGUCGAGCGAACAGACGAGGAGCUUGCUCCUCUGACGUUAGCGGCGGACGGGUGAGUAACACGUGGAUAACCUACCUAUAAGACUGGGAUAACUUCGGGAAACCGGAGCUAAUACCGGAUAAUAUAUUGAACCGCAUGGUUCAAUAGUGAAAGACGGUUUUGCUGUCACUUAUAGAUGGAUCCGCGCCGCAUUAGCUAGUUGGUAAGGUAACGGCUUACCAAGGCGACGAUGCGUAGCCGACCUGAGAGGGUGAUCGGCCACACUGGAACUGAGACACGGUCCAGACUCCUACGGGAGGCAGCAGUAGGGAAUCUUCCGCAAUGGGCGAAAGCCUGACGGAGCAACGCCGCGUGAGUGAUGAAGGCCUUCGAAUCGUAAAACUCUGUUAUUAGGGAAGAACAAAUGUGUAAGUAACUAUGCACGUCUUGACGGUACCUAAUCAGAAAGCCACGGCUAACUACGUG